UUGAAGGUUGGGUAACACUAACUGGAGGACCGAACCGACUAAUGUUGAAAAAUUAGCGGAUGACUUGUGGCUGGGGGUGAAAGGCCAAUCAAACCGGGAGAUAGCUGGUUCUCCCCGAAAGCUAUUUAGGUAGCGCCUCGUGAAUUCAUCUCCGGGGGUAGAGCACUGUUUCGGCAAGGGGGUCAUCCCGACUUACCAACCCGAUGCAAACUGCGAAUACCGGAGAAUGUUAUCACGGGAGACACACGGCGGGUGCUAACGUCCGUCGUGAAGAGGGAAACAACCCAGACCGCCAGCUAAGGUCCCAAAGUCAUGGUUAAGUGGGAAACGAUGUGGGAAGGCCCAGACAGCCAGGAUGUUGGCUUAGAAGCAGCCAUCAUUUAAAGAAAGCGUAAUAGCUCACUGGUCGAGUCGGCCUGCGCGGAAGAUGUAACGGGGCUAAACCAUGCACCGAAGCUGCGGCAGCGACGCUUAUGCGUUGUUGGGUAGGGGAGCGUUCUGUAAGCCUGCGAAGGUGUGCUGUGAGGCAUGCUGGAGGUAUCAGAAGUGCGAAUGCUGACAUAAGUAACGAUAAAGCGGGUGAAAAGCCCGCUCGCCGGAAGACCAAGGGUUCCUGUCCAACGUUAAUCGGGGCAGGGUGAGUCGACCCCUAAGGCGAGGCCGAAAGGCGUAGUCGAUGGGAAACAGGUUAAUAUUCCUGUACUUGGUGUUACUGCGAAGGGGGGACGGAGAAGGCUAUGUUGGCCGGGCGACGGUUGUCCCGGUUUAAGCGUGUAGGCUGGU
rnacentral:rRNA from 1 species